rnacentral:rRNA from 1 species
AAUGCCUAGGAAUCUGCCCGAUAGUGGGGGACAACGUUUCGAAAGGAACGCUAAUACCGCAUACGUCCUACGGGAGAAAGUGGGGGAUCUUCGGACCUCACGCUAUCGGAUGAGCCUAGGUCGGAUUAGCUAGUUGGUGGGGUAAAGGCUCACCAAGGCGACGAUCCGUAACUGGUCUGAGAGGAUGAUCAGUCACACUGGAACUGAGACACGGUCCAGACUCCUACGGGAGGCAGCAGUGGGGAAUAUUGGACAAUGGGCGAAAGCCUGAUCCAGCCAUGCCGCGUGUGUGAAGAAGGCCUUUUGGUUGUAAAGCACUUUAAGCGAGGAGGAGGCUACUGGUAUUAAUACUACUGGAUAGUGGACGUUACUCGCAGAAUAAGCACCGGCUAACUCUGUGCCAGCAGCCGCGGUAAUACAGAGGGUGCGAGCGUUAAUCGGAUUUACUGGGCGUAAAGCGUACGUAGGUGGUCUUUUAAGUCGGAUGUGAAAUCCCUGAGCUUAACUUAGGAAUUGCAUUCGAUACUGGGAGACUAGAGUAUGGGAGAGGAUGGUAGAAUUCCAGGUGUAGCGGUGAAAUGCGUAGAGAUCUGGAGG